UUGACCUCGGAUCAGGUAGGAAUACCCGCUGAACUUAAGCAUAUCAAUAAGCGGAGGAAAAGAAACCAACAGGGAUUGCCCUAGUAACGGCGAGUGAAGCGGCAACAGCUCAAAUUUGAAAUCUGGCCCCCGGGUCCGAGUUGUAAUUUGUAGAGGAUGCUUUUGGUGCGGUGCCUUCCGAGUUCCCUGGAACGGGACGCCAUAGAGGGUGAGAGCCCCGUCUGGUUGGAUACCAAUCCUCUGUAAAGCUCCUUCGACGAGUCGAGUAGUUUGGGAAUGCUGCUCUAAAUGGGAGGUAUAUGUCUUCUAAAGCUAAAUACCGGCCAGAGACCGAUAGCGCACAAGUAGAGUGAUCGAAAGAUGAAAAGCACUUUGAAAAGAGGGUUAAACAGUACGUGAAAUUGUUGAAAGGGAAGCGCUUGUGACCAGACUUGGGCUCGGCUAAUCAUCCAGCGUUCUCGCUGGUGCACUUGGCCGGCCUAGGCCAGCAUCAGUUCGGCGCGGGGGAUAAAGGCUUUGGGAAUGUGGCUCCCCCGGGA
rnacentral:rRNA from 1 species